AUUUAUAGUGUGGUCUUGCACAGUGCAACAGCUCACAAAAAGAAGUCAUGGAUUCUCUCUGAUUGGAGGUUGUUUUAAAAACAGGAUUAUACCAGAUACUCUAGGUUGGCACCAGGAUUCCCACAUCUGGGUCUUCUACUGGAAAUAGGGUUGGCUGGUAACAUUUACCAGUCCUUCAGGGGGAGGGGGAUUAUUUGCAAGAGAUGAGGCACAGAAGAGAGAAGCAGCUUUCCUGAAAGACUUAGCAUGAACAGAAUGCUCUAAGACCCAGAAGAUAUCAUAGUGAGAAGAGGCAUCCCCUGAGGUCCAUAUAGAACCAUUCAAUGCUCUGCUCCCUUGGUGAGCAACAGCUAUGAGAACAUGGCUAGGGUGCCACGUACUCAUCAGUCACAGCAAGAGGAGGUCUUUCUCAGACGACUUGGAUGGUAGUGAUUGUUAGCCUGGGGAAGCUAACACAAGAAAGGAAGAAUACGAAGAUGUCACACUGGGAGUGUGAGCACUUGGGAGGCUCCCUUUGGAGAUUGCCAGACAUAAUUGCAAGACUCUUGGAUGCUGAGGUCUUGUCAACAUACUGUGGGAGGCAUUGUAAUUUGGUCAUUAAAAAUAAAAGAGGCUUAAUCUUACAUACAAAGACUGAUGAGGAUUUCUCCCAAUAUCCUUACACUACAUUUUUUUUAUUAGAUACAAUCUCUUCAAGUGUCUUGAACAAGAUUACCCGGGAAGAGACAGCGACUUAGGCCCCAAUAUUUUAAACUAUAGGAAGUUGUAAUAAUAGCAACGAAGAAGGCAAAACAAAGCAAAAAUCUUCUCUACCAUUCAUCAGUCCAGAAUCAGAACUGUAGAUAAAGCCAAGUGAAAAUUUAUCAGAAAACAACAUUUCUCCCAAAUAUAUGCUGCAGCUAUAAAGUGUCAUAAGAGCGCAAAUAUUGGAGCAUCUACUGAUUUCUUACUGAGAAAUCUUUUUCUCUAAAAUCAUAGACUAUCAGAAACACUUUUGUUUGAAAUGAUUCAGUAGUAAUAAAACAUCCCACUCUUGUCUGGAAGAGUUCAGCUGUGACACAGCGAAGCAGCCUUGAUUUACAGGCCACGUGCAGAGCUUCAGAUAGCAGGUCUCUGCAAAUAACACUUGACAUCUAUUUUAACUUUCUUUCCAAGAAACAUCCACUUUAGAGGCACCUGGAUGGCUCAGUUGGUUAAGUGUCCAACUCUUGAUCUCAGCUCAGGUCUUGAUCUCAGGGUUGUGAGUUCAAGCCCCAACUUGGGCUCCUCACUGGGCAUGAAGCCUACUUAAAAAGGAAAAGAAAAAAAAAAGGUACAUUUCACAGUCCAGAACUGAUAUUGGUCCCUUUACAUGCUGCCUAUCAAAACACUGUUGCAUUUACACUGCACCCAAACUCCAAUCUUUGGUAAAAUCCUUAACUCUUUUCCUUCCUUUGCUGAAACAUCCCACAAUUCCUUUGUUGUGCUGUCUCCCACAUCUCAGUGAGUCUGUACAUCUGGCUUAUUUAGUGUAAGGUUUGUCCCACAUGGUCUCAGGCUGAUUGGGCU